rnacentral:rRNA from 1 species
UGAGGAAUAUUGGUCAAUGGGCGAGAGCCUGAACCAGCCAAGUCGCGUGAAGGAAGACAGUCCUAAGGAUUGUAAACUUCUUUUAUACGGGAAUAAUGGGCGAUACGAGUAUUGCAUUGAAUGUACCGUAAGAAUAAGCAUCGGCUAACUCCGUGCCAGCAGCCGCGGUAAUACGGAGGAUGCGAGCGUUAUCCGGAUUUAUUGGGUUUAAAGGGUGCGUAGGUUGUUCGGUAAGUCAGCGGUGAAACCUGAGCGCUCAACGUUCAGCCUGCCGUUGAAACUGCCGGGCUUGAGUUCAGUGGCGGCAGGCGGAAUUCGUGGUGUAGCGGUGAAAUGCAUAGAUAUCACGAGGAACUCCGAUUGCGAAGGCAGCUUGCCAUACUGCGACUGACACUGAAGCACGAAGGCGUGGGUAUCAAACAGG